AUCUUCCACAAUGGACGCAAGUCUGAUGGAGCAACGCCGCGUGAGUGAAGAAGGGUUUCGGCUCGUAAAGCUCUGUUGUUAAAGAAGAACGUGGGUGAGAGUAACUGUUCACCCAGUGACGGUAUUUAACCAGAAAGCCACGGCUAACUACGUGCCAGCAGCCGCGGUAAUACGUAGGUGGCAAGCGUUAUCCGGAUUUAUUGGGCGUAAAGCGAGCGCAGGCGGUCUUUUAAGUCUAAUGUGAAAGCCUUCGGCUCAACCGAAGAAGUGCAUUGGAAACUGGGAGACUUGAGUGCAGAAGAGGACAGUGGAACUCCAUGUGU
rnacentral:rRNA from 1 species